rnacentral:rRNA from 1 species
AUUGAACGCUGGCGGCAGGCCUAACACAUGCAAGUCGAACGAGUGGCGGACGGGUGAGUAAUGUCUGGGAAACUGCCUGAUGGAGGGGGAUAACUACUGGAAACGGUAGCUAAUACCGCAUAACAUCCGAUGUGCCCAGGUGGGAUUAGCUAGUUGGGGGGGUAACGGCUCACCAAGGCGACGAUCCCUAGCUGGUCUGAGAGGAUUACCAGCCACACUGGAACUGAGACACGGUCCAGACUCCUACGGGAGGCAGCAGUGGGGAAUAUUGCACAAUGGGCGCAAGCCUGAUGCAGCCAUGCCGCGUGUAUGAAGAAGGCCUUCGGGUUGUAAAGUACUUUCAGCUGGGAGGCGUUAUCCGCAGAAGAAGCCCCGGCUAACUCCGUGCCAGCCGCCGCGGUAAUAC